GAUGAACGCUGGCGGCGUGCCUAAUACAUGCAAGUCGAGCGAACGGACGAGAAGCUUGCUUCUCUGAUGUUGGCGGCGGACGGGUGAGUAACACGUGGAUAACCUACCUAUAAGACUGGGAUAACUUCGGGAAACCGGAGCUAAUACCGGAUAAUAUUUUGAACCGCAUGGUUCAAAAGUGAAAGACGGUCUUGCUGUCACUUAUAGAUGGAUCCGCGCUGCAUUAGCUAGUUGGUAAGGUAACGGCUUACCAAGGCAACGAUGCAUAGCCGACCUGAGAGGGUGAUCGGCCACACUGGAACUGAGACACGGUCCAGACUCCUACGGGAGGCAGCAGUAGGGAAUCUUCCGCAAUGGGCGAAAGCCUGACGGAGCAACGCCGCGUGAGUGAUGAAGGUCUUCGGAUCGUAAAACUCUGUUAUUAGGGAAGAACAUAUGUGUAAGUAACUGUGCACAUCUUGACGGUACCUAAUCAGAAAGCCACGGCUAACUACGUGCCAGCAGCCGCGGUAAUACGUAGGCGGCAAGCGUUAUCCGGAAUUAUUGGGCGUAAAGCGCGCGUAGGCGGUUUUUUAAGUCUGAUGUGAAAGCCCACGGCUCAACCGUGGAGGGUCAUUGGAAACUGGAAAACUUGAGUGCAGAAGAGGAAAGUGGAAUUCCAUGUGUAGCGGUGAAAUGCGCAGAGAUAUGGAGGAACACCAGUGGCGAAGGCGACUUUCUGGUCUGUAACUGACGCUGAUGUGCGAAAGCGUGGGGAUCAAACAGGAUUAGAUACCCUGGUAGUCCACGCCGUAAACGAUGAGUGCUAAGUGUUAGGGGGUUUCCGCCCCUUAGUGCUGCAGCUAACGCAUUAAGCACUCCGCCUGGGGAGUACGACCGCAAGGUUGAAACUCAAAGGAAUUGACGGGGACCCGCACAAGCGGUGGAGCAUGUGGUUUAAUUCGAAGCAACGCGAAGAACCUUACCAAAUCUUGACAUCCUUUGACAACUCUAGAGAUAGAGCCUUCCCCUUCGGGGGACAAAGUGACAGGUGGUGCAUGGUUGUCGUCAGCUCGUGUCGUGAGAUGUUGGGUUAAGUCCCGCAACGAGCGCAACCCUUAAGCUUAGUUGCCAUCAUUAAGUUGGGCACUCUAAGUUGACUGCCGGUGACAAACCGGAGGAAGGUGGGGAUGACGUCAAAUCAUCAUGCCCCUUAUGAUUUGGGCUACACACGUGCUACAAUGGACAAUACAAAGGGCAGCGAAACCGCGAGGUCAAGCAAAUCCCAUAAAGUUGUUCUCAGUUCGGAUUGUAGUCUGCAACUCGACUACAUGAAGCUGGAAUCGCUAGUAAUCGUAGAUCAGCAUGCUACGGUGAAUACGUUCCCGGGUCU
rnacentral:rRNA from 1 species